AUGUGUUCUCCGGUUUCUGGUGGCUGCUGUGUCCCCUGGCCUGUGCCCCUCCCCCACCCUCAAAGCCAGUAAGUAGGGUGGCUUCCUGUAUCUCCGAUUCUGACCCCAUUUCUAUCAUUCAUUCACCUACUUCCCCGACUCUGACCCUCCCUCUUAUGAGGCCCACCAGAUAACCCAGGCUGAUUUUCCCAUCUCAGGAACUUGAACUUAGUCACAUCUGCAGGUCCCUGUUGCCAUGGAAGGCAUGGUAUUCACAGGCUCUGGGGAUUAGGAUGGGGUGUCACUGGGGGACCAUUAUUCUGUCUACCAUGCGCCUCAACAAUAGCCAGUGCAGGACGUGGGCAGCAGGUAGGGCUCAUGCAGGUGAUCUAGAACCCCCACCACUAAAGAAGCCCUCAUCCUAGGGGACCACGUGGGGCAUAAAGGAACUGAAAGGGCCCUCAUUUGUCUUCAAAACCUAGGAGGGAAGAGGGGAAGAGAAUGGUGGCGUCCAGAACCCAGGACCUGCAGGCCUGAUGCCCCUCCCCACUCCCGUCUUAUAGUCACCCUGCCCAGGGCCACCUCUCUGCCUUGUCCCCAUCAGCUUUAGGGCCUUCCCGACAGAUGGAAAUGGCGCCUUCCUCCCCGUCUCUUCUACUGGAGUGUGCUCCCCUAGUGCCCAGCACGAUGUGGGCACAGAACGGGUACCCAGUAAACACCGGGAACCAUGUAAACAUA